GUUUUUGUGUGAUGGAUCCCUGCUCGGGCAGCGACAUCAUAUCAUCCGCGUCUCUUCAGUUGUAGGCGUGAGCAUUUGCUCGCCCGACAUUGGCUUUCCUGUGCUGAAUACCCGCGUUGAAGGCAUGCUGUCGGAUAAAUUUUCCUUUCCCGCUCGGUGCYGCUGCUCCUCGUGGGCAAGCGGUGCGGGGUGGGCCAAAUAGCRCACGUCGUGUGUCCCUUCCCAUUUGCAUUUUAAAAGUGCGUUUGGGCGGACGAUGCACGGCAUGUUGCUCGGUCUCUCGGGUACGGAAUAUCGUGUGGGUACGGGGCCAUCGGCCUCGGAGCACCACAAAUAAGCGUUAUACGCUUCGUGCGAACGACUGUCUUCUCGGCUUCCGGUUGUGCUCUCGUGGCUCAGUUCGGAUCCGUGACGACGUCGAUGAGGAAUGCUACCU
rnacentral:misc_RNA from 1 species